UUAUUUCCAUUAAGGGACAUGAAAUAGAUCCUAAAUUUAUAUUAUAUAGAUAUAGAUUAUACUAUUUGCAUUAACUUAUAAAAAAAUAAUCAAAGACAUGUUACCGUAUUAAGAAAAAAACAUGACAAUAAAUAUUAAUACUAAUAAUAUCAUUCAUAAAUCUCGUGCACGGGGUGACAAUAAAUCCACUGAUCAAUGAAUUAUAUUAGAGGUUAUUUCUUCCCACAUUUUCCGUGAAGGAAACAGCUGCGCAGAUAGGUUCGCUUCUAUGGGUCACUCCAGUGUUGGUGUGGUCUGGCUAGACACUCUUCCUAUUGAUUUAAGGCUUCAUUUCUAUAGGGAUAGCUGUACACUUCCAAAUUACAGAUUCCCAUGAUCUGUUUUUUGGCUGCUUUUUCUUGUUUCUUCUAUUUAUUUUCUAUUUCCUUCUCUUUUUGUUUUUUGAGGGUUUUGGUCUAGUCCCCUCUCCUUUUGUAUUUAUUUUUUUCCCCUUUUUUAAUAAAUUUUUUAGAGCGUGGCGGCAUAGGAUGGGGGUCUCUCGGGAUGCCAACCUAGUUGGGAUGUCGAUGAUGCCUCUUGAUGUCUGUCUACGUUCCUUGCUUAUCAAAAAAAAAAAAUAUAUCAUUCAAUUCUCCUCCAAAAUGUUUUUGUUAUUAUUAUUCCUAUAAUUAUAUGAUUUUCCAUAUUCUUAAAUAAUAUCUUUUCUUUGGCUUAAAUAUCAUUUUGGUCCCUUAAUUUAGUUUAAAGUACAGUUU
rnacentral:lncRNA from 1 species